UUCAAUUGAGAUGGCUAAGCGGAACUUGAGGGGUACAUGGAACUUCACAAACCCUGGUGUGGUGAGCCAUAAUGAGAUUUUGGAGAUGUACAAGAGUUACAUUAACCCCAACUUUACAUGGGUUAACUUCACACUAGAGGAGCAAGCUAAGGUGAUUGUGGCACCACGAAGCAACAAUGAGAUGGAUGCAUCCAAGUUGAAGAAGGAGUUUCCGGAAUUGCUGUCAAUCAAGGAGUCCCUGAUCAAGUAUGUUUUUGAACCAAAUAAGAAAGUCUGAACUAAAGCAGCACCAUAGAUCUUAUGUUGCAUUACAAAUGCCUAAGAGUAUUGCUAGCGAUUCAAUUCUGCUAGUCAUUCAAUUUGGGUCAUCUCAUUUUUUCUAC
rnacentral:misc_RNA from 1 species